rnacentral:rRNA from 1 species
UGAGGGUCGUUCACGUAACCCAAAUACUGCUUGCGUU